ACACCCUUAAAUCAUUGCAGUUAUCAGAACCUCAGGUUUGUUCCAACAGCCGAGGGAUGAAGGAGACUUGGAAGUAUUGCUGAAGCUGGUGUUUGGUGUUUUGUUGUGUUGUAGCUAACGUCAGGUGUUUUAUUGUGUGUUGUAGCUGACAUCUGGUGUGUUGUUGUGUGUUGUAGCUGACGUCUGGUGUGUUGUUGUGUGUUGUAGCUAACGUCAGGUGUUUUGUGUGUUGUAGCUAACGUCAGGUGUUUUAUUGUGUGUUGUAGCUGACGUCUGGUGUUUUAUUGUGUGUUGUAGCUAACGUCAGGUGUUUUAUUGUGUGUUGUAGCUAACGUCAGGUGUUUUAUUGUGUGUUGUAGCUAACGUCUGGUGUUUUAUUGUGUGUUGUAGCUGACGUCUGGUGUUAUAUUGUGUGUUGUAGCUGACGUCUGGUGUUUUAUUGUGUGUUGUAGCUGACGUCUGGUGUUUUAUUGUGUGUUGUAGCUGACGUCUGGUGUUAUAUUGUGUGUUGUAGCUAACGUCAGGUGUUUUAUUGUGUGUUGUAGCUGACGUCAGGUGUUUUAUUGUGUGUUGUAGCUGACGUCUUGUGUUUUAUUGUGUGUUGUAGCUAACGUCAGGUGUUUUAUUGUGUGUUGUAGCUAACGUCAGGUGUUUUAUUGUGUGUUGUAGCUGACGUCUGGUGUUUUAUUGUGUGUUGUAGCUGACGUCUGGUGUUUUAUUGUGUGUUGUAGCUGACGUCAGGUGUUUUAUUGUGUGUUGUAGCUGACGUCUGGUGUUUUAUUGUGUGUUGUAGCUGACGUCUGGUGUUUUAUUGUGUGUUGUAGCUAACGUCAGGUGUUUUAUUGUGUGUUGUAGCUAACGUCUGGUGUUUUAUUGUGUGUUGUAGCUGACGUCUGGUGUUUUAUUGUGUGUUGUAGCUGACAUCUGGUGUGUUGUUGUGUGUUGUAGCUGACGUCUGGUGUUUUAUUGUGUGCUGUAGCUGACAUCUGGUGUGUUGUGUGUUGUAGCUAACGUCAGGUGUUUUGUGUGUUGUAGCUAACGUCAGGUGUUUUGUGUGUUGUAGCUGACGUCAGGUGUUUUAUUGUGUGUUGUAGCUGACGUCUGGUGUUUUAUUGUGUGUUGUAGCUAACGUCAGGUGUUUUAUUGUGUGUUGUAGCUAACGUCAGGUGUUUUAUUGUGUGUUGUAGCUAACGUCAGGUGUUUUAUUGUGUGUUGUAGCUGACGUCUGGUGUUUUAUUGUGUGUUGUAGCUGACGUCUGGUGUUUUAUUGUGUGUUGUAGCUAACGUCAGUUUUUUUUAUUGUGUGUUGUAGCUAACGUCUGGUGUGUUGUAGCUGAUGUCAGGUGUUUUAUUGUGUGUUGUAGCUGACGUCUGGUGUUUUAUUGUGUGUUGUAGCUAACGUCAGGUGUUUUAUUGUGUGUUGUAGCUAACGUCAGGUGUUUUAUUGUGUGUUGUAGCUAACGUCAGGUGUUUUAUUGUGUGUUGUAGCUGACGUCUGGUGUUUUAUUGUGUGUUGUAGCUGACGUCUGGUGUUUUAUUGUGUGUUGUAGCUAACGUCAGUUUUUUUUAUUGUGUGUUGUAGCUAACGUCUGGUGUGUUGUAGCUGAUGUCAGGUGUUUUAUUGUGUGUUGUAGCUGACGUCUGGUGUUUUAUUGUGUGUUGUAGCUGACGUCUGGUGUUUUAUUGUGUGUUGUAGCUGACGUCUGGUGUUUUAUUGUGUGUUGUAGCUGACAUCUGGUGUGUUGUGUGUUGUAGCUAACGUCAGGUGUUUUGUGUGUUGUAGCUAACGUCUGGUGUUUUAUUGUGUGUUGUAGCUGAUGUCAGGUGUUUUAUUGUGUGUUGUAGCUAACGUCAGGUGUUUUAUUGUGUGUUGUAGCUGAUGUCAGGUGUUUUAUUGUGUGUUGUAGCUAACGUGAGGUGUUUUAUUGUGUGUUGUAGCUAACGUGAGGUGUUUUAUUGUGUGUUGUAGCUGACGUCUGGUGUUUUAUUGUGUGUUGUAGCUAACGUCAGGUGUUUUAUUGUGUGUUGUAGCUGACGUCUGGUGUUUUAUUGUGUGUUGUAGCUGACGUCUGGUGUUUUAUUGUGUGUUGUAGCUGAUGUCAGGUGUUUUAUUGUGUGUUGUAGCUGACGUCAGGUGUUUUAUUGUGUGUUGUAGCUGACGUCAGGUGUUUUAUUGUGUGUUGUAGCUGACGUCUGGUGUUUUAUUGUGUGUUGUAGCUGACGUCUGGUGUGUUGUUGUGUGUUGUAGCUGACGUCUGGUGUUUUAUUGUGUGUUGUAGCUGACGUCUGGUGUGUUGUUGUGUGUUGUAGAUGACGUCUGGUGUGUUGUUGUGUGUUGUAGCUGACGUCUGGUGUGUUGUUGUGUGUUGUAGCUGACGUCUGGUGUGUUAUUGUGUGUUGUAGCUGACGUCUGGUGUUUUGUUGU